rnacentral:rRNA from 1 species
UACGGAGGAUCCGAGCGUUAUCCGGAUUUACUGGGUUUAAAGGGUGCGUAGGCGGGCGCUUAAGUCAGCGGUGAAAUGCGGGGGCUCAACCUUCGAACGGCCGUUGAUACUGGGCGCCUUGGAUUCGGUCGAGGCGGGCGGAAUGCGACAUGUAGCGGUGAAAUGCUUAGAUAUGUCGCAGAACGCCGAUUGCGAAGGCAGCUCGCCGGGCCGAUAUUGACGCUGAGGCACGAAAGCGUGGGGAUCGAACAGGAUUAGAUACCCUGGUAGUCCACGCCGUAAACGAUGAUGGCUGGAUGUUGGCGAUACACCGUCAGCGUCUGAGGGAAACCAUUAAGCCAUCCACCUGGGGAGUACGGCCGCAAGGCUGAA